GAUGAACGCUGGCGGCGUGCCUAAUACAUGCAAGUCGAGCGAACGGACGAGAAGCUUGCUUCUCUGAUGUUAGCGGCGGACGGGUGAGUAACACGUGGAUAACCUACCUAUAAGACUGGGAUAACUUCGGGAAACCGUAGCUAAUACCGGAUAAUAUUUUGAACCGCAUGGUUCAAAAGUGAAAGACGGUCUUGCUGUCACUUAUAGAUGGAUCCGCGCUGCAUUAGCUAGUUGGUAAGGUAACGGCUUACCAAGGCAACGAUGCAUAGCCGACCUGAGAGGGUGAUCGGCCACACUGGAACUGAGACACGGUCCAGACUCCUACGGGAGGCAGCAGUAGGGAAUCUUCCGCAAUGGGCGAAAGCCUGACGGAGCAACGCCGCGUGAGUGAUGAAGGUCUUCGGAUCGUAAAACUCUGUUAUUAGGGAAGAACAUAUGUGUAAAUAACUGUGCACAUCUUGACUGUACCUAAUCAGAAAGCCACGGCUAACUACGUG
rnacentral:rRNA from 1 species